rnacentral:rRNA from 1 species
GACGAACGCUGGCGGCGCGCCUAACACAUGCAAGUCGAACGAGGUCUUUUAGGAAGCUUGCUUCUUGGCUGACCUAGUGGCGGACGGGUGAGUAACACGUGAGCAACCUGCCGAAGAGUGGGGGAUAACGUCUGGAAACGGACGCUAAUACCGCAUGAUAUACACGGAUGGCAUCUUCUGUGUAUCAAAGGAGUAAUCCGCUCUUUGAUGGGCUCGCGCCCGAUUAGGUAGUUGGUAGGGUAAUGGCCUACCAAGCCGACGAUCGGUAGCCGGACUGAGAGGUUGAUCGGCCACAUUGGGACUGAGACACGGCCCAGACUCCUACGGGAGGCAGCAGUGGGGGAUAUUGCACAAUGGGGGAAACCCUGAUGCAGCGACGCCGCGUGGGUGAAGACGGCCUUCGGGUUGUAAAGCCCUGUUGAGGGGGACGAUAAUGACGGUACCCCUUUAGAAAGCCACGGCUAACUACGUGCCAGCAGCCGCGGUAACAC